rnacentral:tRNA from 1 species
AUUCUCUUAGUAUAACUAAUAUAACUGACUUCCAAUCAGUAGAUUCCGUCAUAAACGGAAGAGAAUA